rnacentral:rRNA from 1 species
UACGGGGGGGGGCAAGCGUUGUUCGGAAUUACUGGGCGUAAAGGGCGUGUAGGUGGCCAACUAAGUCCGACGUGAAAUCCCCAGGCUUAACCUGGGAACUGCGUCGGAUACUGGAUGGCUUGAAUCCGGGAGAGGGAUGCGGAAUUCCAGGUGUAGCGGUGAAAUGCGUAGAUAUCUGGAGGAACACCGGUGGCGAAGGCGGCAUCCUGGACCGGUAUUGACACUGAAGCGCGAAAGCCAGGGGGAGCAAACGGGG